rnacentral:rRNA from 1 species
UACGGAGGGUGCAAGCGUUAUCCGGAUUCACUGGGUUUAAAGGGUGCGUAGGAGGGCAGGUAAGUCAGUGGUGAAAUCCCUAAGCUUAACUUGGGAACUGCCGUUGAUACUAUCUGUCUUGAAUAUUGUGGAGGUGAGCGGAAUAUGUCAUGUAGCGGUGAAAUGCUUAGAUAUGACAUAGAACACCAAUUGCGAAGGCAGCUCACUACGCAAUCAUUGACUCUGAGGCACGAAAGCGUGGGGAUCAAACAGG